CGAUCUGAAGCCAUUCCGAAGUCUGCUAGUAAUCUGGAACGACACGAUUUAGAAACUCUUCUUCAGAUUCUCUCAAGCAAUUUAGAUGCUUCAGCACAAGAGCAGAUCUUAAUCACUCUCUGUAACAUCUCAGCAUUUUCCGUAAACCAUGAUAUAAUUCGGAAUUUAGAUGGUAUUCGUAUUAUUGGAGGGUUCCUUUCACACGCUGAUCCGAAAAUAAAAGCAGGUGCUCUUAAUGUACUCAACAACCUGAGCUUGAACCUACCAAAUCAGGAGCAAAUACAGGCUUUUAUAAAUGAAGUAUUAAAGGAUAUCACAGAGUGUUCGUUAAAUUCUGAAGUCCAGCUGGCUGGCCUGAGACUGGUGAUCAAUAUGUGAGUCACCAAUAAGUACCAUGAAAAGAUGGAAGAUUCAAUUCAAAAUCUACUCAA